AUUCAAAAUCCAUCAAUGAAGGUUCACAUCAGGGAAUAUGUAGGGGAACAGCGCAUGAAGUUUGAAAGCAUUCCCUUCCCAAUGAACAUCAAAACGGAAAUUAAACUAUGGGAAAUGUAGCGUUCAGCCGGUCAAAUUAAGAACACAGCUCUGAAUUCCUCCAGACUCUGUGCCGCCACUUCACUGGAACUUUGCUGGGAUGGUGGCAGCAAAUCUGAUUACAUCCAAUUACGUGUAUUACCAGUG